UACAGAGGGUGCGAGCGUUAAUCGGAAUUACUGGGCGUAAAGCGUGCGUAGACGGUGGCGUAAGUCGGGUGUGAAAGCCCCGGGCUCAACCUGGGAAUUGCAUUCGAGACUGUGCCGCUGGGGUGCGGAAGAGGGAAGCGGAAUUUCCGGUGUAGCGGUGAAAUGCGUAGAUAUCGGAAGGAACAUCAGUGGCGAAAGCGGCUUCCUGGUCCAGCACCGACGUUCAGGCACGAAAGCGUGGGGAGCAAAC
rnacentral:rRNA from 1 species